ACGCACGGAAACUUUCCAUCGAGGCGCUUAGCAAACAAAAGAGUGAAAAAAGGCACUCAGUACAAGCUAGGAACUCAGAGGACGAGUUUCGGAUUUUCUCGUUUGUUAAUCACGAAUUCAUUCGCUUUAAAAAAGAAGAAGCAUUUGAACGCUACAGCCGUUUUUCAUUUAUUGUCAUUUAGCAGAUCAUUAAGGAACAUCAGAUCUGCGUCCAGUAGUGCAUCAACCCAGCGAAAUCUGCGAGAAUUGAGAAGUAGCAAACGGAUCGCAAGAGGCGAUCCAUCUGUUUAAGCACGAGCAUCCACGAGGGACACGUCGGAUUUUCACGCCAGCAAGUGGCCGUCCAGCAGGGCGCUACCAUUUUAUAUGACUUUUCUCCGACAACGAGAAACAUCCAGGAUAUCAUCCCGAGGGAAAGGAUCGGUGUACAACACAGGGAGCGGCAGAGGCAGGUUAUCACCGUUCCAGGGCGUAGUUCGCACGUGCAAGCAUCGCCGCGACAUAAGCAUUAUUGGACUCGCAUCAGCGAGCGUC